rnacentral:rRNA from 1 species
AUUGAACGCUGGCGGCAUGCUUUACACAUGCAAGUCGAACGGCAGCGCGGGCUUCGGCCUGGCGGCGAGUGGCGAACGGGUGAGUAAUACAUCGGAACGUGCCCAGUAGUGGGGGAUAGCUCGGCGAAAGCCGGAUUAAUACCGCAUACGACCUGAGGGUGAAAGCGGGGGAUCUUCGGACCUCGCGCUAUUGGAGCGGCCGAUGCCAGAUUAGCUAGUUGGUGGGGUGAAGGCCUACCAAGGCGACGAUCUGUAGCUGGUCUGAGAGGACGACCAGCCACACUGGGACUGAGACACGGCCCAGACUCCUACGGGAGGCAGCAGUGGGGAAUUUUGGACAAUGGGCGAAAGCCUGAUCCAGCAAUGCCGCGUGUGUGAUGAAGGCCUUCGGGUUGUAAAGCACUUUUGGCGGGAACGAAAAGGACUGUGCCAAUACCACGGUUCGAUGACGGUACCCGCAGAAUAAGCACCGGCUAACUACGUG